UUGACGCCAAAACACUAACCAAGCUCCUUCUUGCUUCUCAAAGCUUUGAAAGUGUAGCCGAAGUCCGUAUGAGUCUUUGGCUUUGUAUCUUCUAACAAGGAAACACUACUUAGGCUUUUAUGAUCCGGUUGCAGUUUUAAGUCUUGUAAUCAAUCAUACACUUGACAUCAAGUCAUAUUUGACUCAAAAAAAUGAAACAAGCUUGUUCUUGCUUUUCAAAGCUAUGAUAGUGUAGCCGAAGUCCGUAUGAGUCUUUGGCUUUGUAUCUUCUAACAAGGAAACACUACUUAAGCUUUUAUGAUCCGUAUGCGGUUCUAAGUCUUAUACUUAAUCAUACACUUGACAUCAAGUCAUAUUUGACUCAAAAAAAUGAAACAAGCU
rnacentral:sRNA from 1 species